UUUAUUGGAGAGUUUGAUCCUGGCUCAGGAUGAACGCUGGCGGCGUGCCUAAUACAUGCAAGUCGAGCGAAUGGAUUAAGAGCUUGCUCUUAUGAAGUUAGCGGCGGACGGGUGAGUAACACGUGGGUAACCUGCCCAUAAGACUGGGAUAACUCCGGGAAACCGGGGCUAAUACCGGAUAACAUUUUGAACCGCAUGGUUCGAAAUUGAAAGGCGGCUUCGGCUGUCACUUAUGGAUGGACCCGCGUCGCAUUAGCUAGUUGGUGAGGUAACGGCUCACCAAGGCAACGAUGCGUAGCCGACCUGAGAGGGUGAUCGGCCACACUGGGACUGAGACACGGCCCAGACUCCUACGGGAGGCAGCAGUAGGGAAUCUUCCGCAAUGGACGAAAGUCUGACGGAGCAACGCCGCGUGAGUGAUGAAGGCUUUCGGGUCGUAAAACUCUGUUGUUAGGGAAGAACAAGUGCUAGUUGAAUAAGCUGGCACCUUGACGGUACCUAACCAGAAAGCCACGGCUAACUACGUGCCAGCAGCCGCGGUAAUACGUAGGUGGCAAGCGUUAUCCGGAAUUAU
rnacentral:rRNA from 1 species